UCGGAUUGGGGUCUGCAACUCGACCCCAUGAAGUUGGAUUCGCUAGUAAUCGCGUAUCAGCAAUGACGCGGUGAAUACGUUCCCGGGCCUUGUACACACCGCCCGUCAAGCCAUGGAAGCUGGGGGUACCUAAAGUAUGCAGCCGCAAGGAGCGUCCUAGGGUAAAACCGGUAACUGGGGCUAAGUCGUAACAAGGUAGCCGUACCGGAAGGUGCGGCUGGAAUACCUCCUUUCUGGAGC
rnacentral:rRNA from 1 species